rnacentral:tRNA from 1 species
AAAGAUUUAGUUAAAACAUAACAUUAGAAUGUCAAACUAAAAUUAUUUAAUUAAAAUAAUCUUUA